CCCAUCAACUUGCGUACAUCCAAAUGCUGUAGCACGUCGCCAACCAUUUCCUUGUGGAUUGUGGGGGCCACAUUCUUCUCCCCAUCCCCUUCCACCAGCUCAGGGUACUGAGUAUCCAGAGAAUAACUGCUAGAACAAAAAAUAAGGAU